rnacentral:rRNA from 1 species
AUUGAACGCUGGCGGCAGGCCUAACACAUGCAAGUCGAGCGGCAGCGGGAAAGUAGCUUGCUACUUUUGCCGGCGAGCGGCGGACGGGUGAGUAAUGCCUGGGAAAUUGCCCAGUCGAGGGGGAUAACAGUUGGAAACGACUGCUAAUACCGCAUACGCCCUACGGGGGAAAGCAGGGGACCUUCGGGCCUUGCGCGAUUGGAUAUGCCCAGGUGGGAUUAGCUAGUUGGUGAGGUAAUGGCUCACCAAGGCGACGAUCCCUAGCUGGUCUGAGAGGAUGAUCAGCCAAGCUGGAACUGAGACACGGUCCAGACUCCUACGGGAGGCAGCAGUGGGGAAUAUUGCACAAUGGGGGAAACCCUGAUGCAGCCAUGCCGCGUGUGUGAAGAAGGCCUUCGGGUUGUAAAGCACUUUCAGUGAGGAGGAAAGGUUGAUGCCUAAUACGUAUCAACUGUGACGUUACUCGCAGAAGAAGCACCGGCUAACUCCGUGCCAGCCGCCGCAGUAAAAC